rnacentral:rRNA from 1 species
UACGGAGAGGGCUAGCGUUAUUCGGAAUUAUUGGGCGUAAAGGGCGCGUAGGCGGAUUAGUAAGUUAAAAGUGAAAUCCCAAGGCUCAACCUUGGAAUUGCUUUUAAAACUGCUAAUCUAGAGAUUGAAAGAGGAUAGAGGAAUUCCUAGUGUAGAGGUGAAAUUCGUAAAUAUUAGGAGGAACACCAGUGGCGAAGGCGUCUAUCUGGUUCAAAUCUGACGCUGAGGCGCGAAGGCGUGGGGAGCAAACAGGAUUAGAUACCCUGGUAGUCCACGCUGUAAACGAUUGAGUGCUA